UGUCUGGGAAACUGCCUGAUGGAGGGGGAUAACUACUGGAAACGGUAGCUAAUACCGCAUAACGUCGCAAGACCAAAGUGGGGGACCUUCGGGCCUCAUGCCAUCAGAUGUGCCCAGAUGGGAUUAGCUAGUAGGUGGGGUAACGGCUCACAUAGGCGACGAUCCCUAGCUGGUCUGAGAGGAUGACCAGCCACACUGGAACUGAGACACGGUCCAGACUCCUACGGGAGACAGCAGUGGGGAAUAUUGCACAAUGGGCGCAAGCCUGAUGCAGCCAUGCCGCGUGUAUGAAGAAGGCCUUCGGGUUGUAAAGUACUUUCAGCGAGGAGGAAGGCGGUGAGGUUAAUAACCUCAUCGAUUGACGUUACUCGCAGAAGAAGCACCGGCUAACUCCGUG
rnacentral:rRNA from 1 species